rnacentral:sRNA from 1 species
UAAAGUUUUUUGGUAAACCAGUUACGAGUCAGUAAGGUCACUUAGUCUUGUCUGUUGCCAUUUAAGAAAACCACUUCACACACUAUUUCUCGAUUUUCUGUGUUAACUGCCUCUGGGCAACUAUUAUUUUAAAGGAAUUGGUAAAAUGGCAAAGAUUAAAGGUCAGGUUAAGUGGUUUAACGAAUCUAAAGGUUUUGGUUUCAUCACUCCUGCAGACGGUAGCAAAGAUGUAUUCGUACACUUCUCUGCAAUCCAAGGUAAUGGUUUCAAAACUCUGGCUGAAGGCCAAAACGUUGAGUUUGAAAUUCAAGAUGGACAAAAAGGUCCAGCAGCAGUAAACGUCACUGCUAUCUAAUUCUCGGUUUUCCGAAGUAAUUAUGAAUCCCCGCUCAUGCGGGGAUUUUUCUU